UACCCACAUUGCAUACCAUGAUGGCUGCACUUCGAAACAAAUAAACAUGCUACAUGCAACAUGCUAUAUUAGUUCUUGCCAGGUUUAGCAUAAAUGCGUUCAUAGGCAAAAAAAAAUGAUGAAACUAUUUACACGUUUAUUGGAUUGGAAAUAAAAUAAUAUGAACCCAAAUGAUGGAACACUGUUUGAUGUAAAUAAGCCUUUACUUUUUGGAGAUUUUGAAAUCAAUGAAUAUAUUAUUUAUUUUCAACAUGCUGAAGUUGAGAAAAUUGGUGUCGAGUUCUUAUGUGGAGACUUACAUAAUUCAACACAGGCAUGGGUGAAUGAAGGUGAUU
rnacentral:lncRNA from 1 species